GAUGAACGCUGGCGGCGUGCCUAAUACAUGCAAGUCGAGCGAACGGACGAGAAGCUUGCUUCUCUGAUGUUAGCGGCGGACGGGUGAGUAACACGUGGAUAACCUACCUAUAAGACUGGGAUAACUUCGGGAAACCGGAGCUAAUACCGGAUAAUAUUUUGAACCGCAUGGUUCAAAAGUGAAAGACGGUCUUGCUGUCACUUAUAGAUGGAUCCGCGCUGCAUUAGCUAGUUGGUAAGGUAACGGCUUACCAAGGCAACGAUGCAUAGCCGACCUGAGAGGGUGAUCGGCCACACUGGAACUGAGACACGGUCCAGACUCCUACGGGAGGCAGCAGUAGGGAAUCUUCCGCAAUGGGCGAAAGCCUGCAGGAGCAACGCCGCGUGAGUGAUGAAGGUCUUCGGAUCGUAAAACUCUGUUAUUAGGGAAGAACAUAUGUGUAAGUAACUGUGCACAUCUUGACGGUACCUAAUCAGAAAGCCACGGCUAACUACGUG
rnacentral:rRNA from 1 species